rfam:Pseudomonas rhizosphaerae strain DSM 16299, complete genome.
GGGGCCGAUUAGGAUUCGACGCCGGUUGCGAAACUUUAGGUGCAUGCCGACUUGGUAACAGAAGUCGUAAAUCCACUGUUGCAACUUUCUAUAGUUGCCAAUGACGAAACCUACGAGGGCCAAGCUCUCGCUGCCUAACGGUAGCUGAGCCGCUCUUCUGGCUACUUCGGUGCCAGCGAUCAUCAGGGGAUGCCUGUAAACCCAAAGUGAUCGUCACGCAGAACAGGAUCGUCGUGUAGCACGCUGUGGGCAAAGCGACUAAAACUUACACAGCUCGUCCAAUGCACCCUGCCAGUCGGGCGGCUGCGGAUUAACUCAGUAGACACGGCUAAGCAUGUAGUACCGACAGCGGAGUACUGGCGGACGGGGGUUCAAAUCCCCCCGGCUCCACCA